ACACACACACACACACACACACACACACACACACAAUUAGAAGCAGAAGCAGCAUGUCAAGAGUGUGUGUGUGUGUAGUAGUUGUGCUCUUUUCAAGGUGAUAUCUCCUUCAGGGCUCCAUCUUCUUCAUCUUCUUCAACACAGAUUGUGUUUUUUGUAUUUAACCUGCGAUUAGCGCUCGGUCUCUGUCCCGCUGUCGGUCUCUGUCCCGCUGUCUGUCUCUGUCCCGCUGUUGGAGUCUUCUGUCCUCCUGGAGCUCGUCUUCUCUGAGAAACAUUAAAUCCAUCCUGUGAGAAUUCCCACAAUGCAGCUGGAGUAAAGUCCUAAAGUGUGAAUGACUUCACAUUGAGUACGAUGACAUCAUCGUUACUGCGACUGAGUCUGCGCUGGAUUUGCUGCAUUUCCUGAAAGCACUGACAUUCUGAACCUUUACACUUAAAGUACAUUAACCAAUCUGAUUAGAGAAUUCCGACUGUUUACAGAGAUCAGCUUCCACCCAGAUCCCUGUGGGCUGAGUGAAUGAUAAGUGUGGAGCUGAGAUGGAGCUGAGAUGGAGCUGAGAUGGAGCUUCUGUCCCAGGAGACCAGCGAGAAGCUGAACUCAGGUCAUAAACAUCAGGAGUGAAAGAUGCUGUGAUCCGAUCAGCUGUAUGUGCUGUGUGUGUUACGUAACCACCCGAUUUCACAGCGCUGAGAGUGUGUGUGUGUGUGUGUGUGUGUGUGUUGGUACAGAAGCGAGGACGCUGAUGGCGGCUCGUCCCUGAACAGAGGUGUGUUUAAUUCGCAUGGGAUAUUUCCCUCUCCGCUUCCUCUCUCUUCACUUCGCUGCCUGAGAAAUUAUCUGAACUGAGAAAGUAAUCUCAUUUUCUCUCUUGCAUGUGGCUGCGUAUUAGUCAUUAAACAUUAACGAACCGUCCUCGGCCCUGCCGCAUUUCAAUUAGCCUCCUCUUCCUCGCAAAAGCGCCUCUGCCAGGCUACAGGAAGACGACGCAGGACGGUUAUGUUCAUUUCUAAUGCAAAUGAAACGGCGCUGGCUGAAUCCUAGGCGGAGACGUAAUUGGGAAUUAUGGAAAUGGUUUAGCUGUUACCUGCGAUAGAGGCGUGAUUGACUUCAGCUGGAGUUCAUUUACACUCUAAUGGAGGCGAGUCGAGCCGAGGAAGAGGAUGAGGAUAAUGAGGAUUAAUGACAAUUUAGGUAUCCGGGUAUCAAA